rnacentral:rRNA from 1 species
UACGUAGGGGGCAAGCGUUGUCCGGAAUCAUUGGGCGUAAAGAGCGUGUAGGCGGCCAGAUAAGUCCGCUGUGAAAACUCGAGGCUCAACUUCGAGCUGUCGGUGGAAACUAUUUGGCUAGAGUCCGGAAGAGGAGAGUGGAAUUCCUGGUGUAGCGGUGAAAUGCGCAGAUAUCAGGAGGAACACCGAUGGCGAAGGCAGGUCUCUGGGCCACUACUGACGCUGAGAAGCGAAAGCGUGGGGAGCGAACAGG